CUGCCUCAGACUCUCAAGUAGCUGGAACUACAGAAAGAACUGGACAAAACUCAGCUGACACCUGCUCAUGGAGAAAACACUGAAACCAGCCCUAAGCAGGGAAUCACCAAUCCCGGCAGCUGGAACUUGAGUUCCCUCAAGCCUCAUGACUGUGAGCUAAAGUACUUUGGAGCUGUAAGUAAACUUGAAAGGUAGUCUAGGCCACAAGGAUGGCAACAGCUUGUUGCUUUUGUCUUGUCUCUGUAAGCCCCCUCCCCUGAUGGUCCCUGCUCAUGCCGCAUAUGAAUUAGCAAAUCAAUGAAGCUAAAAGAUUGUAAGGUCUGAUGUCCAGCAAAUGAACAGUGACAUAGUUCCGCCUCAGUGUCCCCUUUAGCACUGUAAACCUAUAAAAGGGGAAAGAAGCUGUUUCUCAGGGAGCUUGGUGAAUGAGGCUGUAACCUCCCACAGCUCCUGGCUGAAUAAAAAGCCACUUCCUUCCUCA